ensembl:lncRNA
AUGGAGUUUUUUUCCUCAAGCUUACCAGAGGAUAUCCACGGUGAUUUCCAGAGACUAGCAAAGGAAUAUGCGGAAGCGGGCAGUCCCAAGGUCUGGCUCGGCGUUGUAAAUAUGGCCAUUGAAAUUCUGGAGGACGAGUUUUGGUGGCGUGAGUACCCCGGAGUGCAGGCACUCUUUGACAGGCUCCAGCUGAUGCGGAGGGAUUUGGCACGCACGCUGCGUGCACCGUCUGCCCGUGUCUCCGCAGCUUUUCCUGUCGCCGCUCCGGCGGUUCACGUCUCCGUUCCUGCCGCUAAUCCAGCGGAUCAUGUUCACGUUCCUGUCGCCGCUCUGGCGGUUCACGUCUCCGUUCCUGCCGCCAAUCCAGCGGGUCAUGUUCACGUUCCUGUCGCCGCUCCAAGCGCCGCCGCCUCUGUUCGCAACUCGGACCCAGCUGCAGAGACCCAGCCCCCGCCGCUCUCAGCGCCUCAGACGACGGUCAGCCGCAGGCGCCCCAGACGGCGUCGGCGAGGGCACGGUUCCGGGAUCCAGGGCCCAGAGACCUCGGUCGCAGUGGCCGAGCAGCUCUCCUCCCCGGCAAAGCAUUCCCUCGGUUCCCCUACUGACUGUGUCAUGUCGAUUGCAGGCAUCCCAGAUAGCGUUGCACAGCGGAUCCACCUCCUCUGUUCUCCCCCGGUUGCGUUCCUCUUUGCCCACCUGAUGGACACUGCUGAUUCGACAGCAGACCAGGGCACGAAGGAACAACUGUUCGAGGAGGCAGCUGCCCUCAUCCUGAGGGAACCUGCCCUGCGUGAGGCCCUGCAACCCCAGGCCUGCAGCCAGCAGCCACACCAACUCCUGCGUCUCAGCCAGGUCAGUCUUGUCACGCUCAGGUUCCAGUGCAGCCCUGUCACGCUCAGGUUCCAGUGCAGCCCUGUCACGCUCAGGUUCCAGUGCAGCCCUGUCACGCUCAGGUUCCAGUGCAGCCCUGUCACGCUCAGGUUCCAGUGCAGCCCUGUCACGCUCAGGUUCCAGUGCAGCCCUGUCACGCUCAGGUUCCAGUGCAGCCCUGUCACGCUCAGGUUCCAGUGCAGCCCUGUCACGCUCAGGUUCCAGUGCAGCCCUGUCACGCUCAGGUUCCAGUGCAGCCCUGUCACGCGUGACAGGGCAGUCCAGUCGAGCCCCGCUCAGGCUCUAGCCCCAGUUCAGUCGAGCCAUGUUCAGGUUCCAGCUCAGUCCGGUCACGUUCCAGUCCAGUUUAGUCACGUCCAGGUCCCAGUCCAGUCGAGUCACGCUCAGGCCUUGUCCCAGCCAGAGGGCACCACCCGUCAAACAAGUGCUAGUCACACCCAAUCAGGCCCGACGUCUACUCCGUCGAGCUCGGCAGCUGCAAGCAGCCAUGCUGACUCCAGAGAGGACGCCGUCUCAGUCCCUGCCGGCUCCAGUGCGGAGCCCGAGAGCAGCACUGCCGGCUCCAGUGCGGAGCCCGAGAGCAGCACUGCCGGCUCCAGUGCGGAGCCCGAGAGCAGCACUGCCGGCUCCAGUGCGGAGCCCGAGAGCAGCACUGCCGGCUCCAGUGCGGAGCCCGAGAGCAGCACUGCCGGCUCCAGUGCGGAGCCCGAGAGCAAGCACUGCCGGCUCCAGUGCGGAGCCCGAGAGCAGCACUGCCGGCUCCAGUGCGGAGCCCGAGAGCAGCACUGCCGGCUCCAGUGCGGAGCCCGAGAGCAGCACUGCCGGCUCCAGUGCGGAGCCCGAGAGCAGCACUGCCGGCUCCAGUGA